rnacentral:tRNA from 1 species
GGAAUGCAUGGGCGAUGGCAUCGGCCAUGCGAGCCUGCUGCGCUUGCAAGGUCUGGCGCAGCCGGCGCAAGUGGCGGUCGUAGCCACCUUGUUCCA